CGCACAUUGCGCCCCUUGGUAUUCCGAGGGGCAUGCCUGUUCGAGCGUCAUUUCACCACUCAAGCCUGGCUUGGUAUUGGGCGCCGCGGUCAAUCCGCGCGCCUCAAAGUCUCCGGCUGAGCUGUCCGUCUCUAAGCGUUGUGAUUUCAUUAAUCGCUUCGGAGUGCGGGCGGCCGCGGCCGUUAAAUCUUUCACAAGGUUGACCUCGGAUCAGGUAGGGAUACCCGCUGAACUUAA
rnacentral:misc_RNA from 1 species